rnacentral:rRNA from 1 species
ACGGGGUGCAGCAGGCGCGAAAACUGGCCAAUGCGCGAAAGCGUGAGCCGGCAAAUCCAAGUGAUGACCCAUCGGUUAUCUUUUGUGAAGUGUACAAAGCUUCAAGAAUAAUGAGAGGGCAAGACUGGUGCCAGCCGCCGCGGUAAAACCAGCUCUUAGAGUGGUGGGCAUGAUUAUUUGGCUUAAAGUGAGCGUAGCCGGACAGCGUAAGUCCCCCGUGAAAUGCCAGGUCUUAAGCCUGGCGCGGGCGGGGGAUACUGUGCGUCUUGGGACCGGGAUAGGUAUAAGGUAUGCACUGGGUAGGGGUGAAAUCCGAUAAUCCAGCGCAGACCACCGGUGGCGAAGGCGUUAUACUGGAACGGGUCCGACGGUGAGGCUCGAAAGCUAGGGUCGCGAGCCGGAUUAGAUACCCGGGUAGUCCUAUGCUGUAAACGAUGCGCACUAAGUGUUAGGUAACGCAAGACGUUAUCUAGUGCCGAAGGGAAACCGUUAAGUGCGCCGCCUGGGAAGUACGUUCGCAAGAAUGAAACUUAAAGGAAUUGGCGGGGGCCUACUACAAGAAGUGGAGCCUGCGGUUUAAUUGGACUCAACUCCGGGAAACUCACCUGGGCCGUAAUGCCGAUGAUUGUCCUGCUGAAGACACUGCUUGAGGUAUUACUGGAGGUGCAUAGCCAUCGUCAGUUCGUGCCGUGAGGUGUCCUGUUAAGUCA